GCCCGGGCGCUUGAGAGAACUCGGGAGAAGGAACUCGGCAAAUUGACACCGUAACUUCGGAAGAAGGUGUGCCUUUAGUAGGUGAAGUCCCUCGCGGAUGGAGCCCAAUGAGGUUGCAAAGAAUCGGUGGCUGCGACUGUUUAAUAAAAACACAGCACUCUGCAAACACGAAAGUGGACGUAUAGGGUGUGACGCCUGCCCGGUGCUGGAAGAUUAAGUGAUGGGGUGCAAGCUCUUGAUCGAAGUCCCAGUAAACGGCGGCCGUAACAAUAACGGUCCUAAGGUAGCGAAAUUCCUUGUCGGGUAAGUUCCGACCUGCACGAAUGGCGUAACGAUGGCCACACUGUCUCCUCCCGAGACUCAGCGAAGUUGAAAUGUUUGUGAUGAUGCAAUCUCCCCGCGGAAAGACGGAAAGACCCCAUGAACCUUUACUGUAGCUUUGUAUUGGACUUUGAACGGAUCUGUGUAGGAUAGGUGGGAGGCUUUGAAGCCGGGUCGCUAGAUCUGGUGGAGCCAACGUUGAAAUACCACCCUGGUGCGUUUGAGGUUCUAACCUAGGCCCGUUAUCCGGGCCGGGGACAGUGCAUGGUAGGCAGUUUGACUGGGGCGGUCUCCUCCCAAAGCGUAACGGAGGAGUUCGAAGGUACGCUAGUUACGGUCGGACAUCGUGACGAUAGUGCAAUGGCAUAAGCGUGCUUAACUGCGAGACUGACAAGUCGAGCAGAUGCGAAAGCAGGACAUAGUGAUCCGGUGGUUCUGUAUGGAAGGGCCAUCGCUCAACGGAUAAAAGGUACUCUGGGGAUAACAGGCUGAUACCGCCCAAGAGUUCAUAUCGACGGCGGUGUUUGGCACCUCGAUGUCGGCUCAUCUCAUCCUGGGGCUGUAGCCGGUCCCAAGGGUAUGGCUGUUCGCCAUUUAAAGAGGUACGUGAGCUGGGUUUAAAACGUCGUGAGACAGUUUGGUCCCUAUCUUCCGUGGGCGCUGCAGAUUUGAGGAAGCCUGCUCCUAGUACGAGAGGACCGGAGUGGACGCACCUCUGGUGUACCUGUUGUCACGCCAGUGGCAUUGCAGGGUAGCUAAGUGCGGAAGAGAUAACCGCUGAAAGCAUCUAAGCGGGAAACUCGUUUCAAGAUGAGAUCUGCCGGGGCCUUGAGCCCCCUGAAGAGUCGUUCUAGACCAGGACGUUGAUAGGUCAGGUGUGGAAGCGCAGUAAUGCGUUAAGCUAACUGAUACUAAUUGCUCGUGCGGCUUGACCAA
rnacentral:rRNA from 1 species